rnacentral:misc_RNA from 1 species
UGAGCAUCCUUUCUUACAUCUCUGCUAGUGGGGUUUUGGCUUCUGCAAUAAUUCUUGUUUCAAUUUUCUGGGUUGGAGCUUUUGAUGGAACUGGAUUUCAUGAAACGGGAAUGCUGCUAAACUGGGGUGGAAUCCCUACUGCUGUUAGCUUAUAUGCCUUCUGUUACUGUGCGCAUCCAGUGUUCCCCACCCUGUACACCUCUAUGGAAAAGAAGCAUCAAUUCUCUAAUGUCCUGCUUAUUUGCUUCAUUUUAUGUACCUUCAGUUAUGCAUCAAUGGCAGUUAUAGGAUACUCGAUGUUCGGG